UAGGGAAUCUUCGGCAAUGGGGGCAACCCUGACCGAGCAACGCCGCGUGAGUGAAGAAGGUUUUCGGAUCGUAAAGCUCUGUUGUAAGAGAAGAACGUGUGUGAGAGUGGAAAGUUCACACAGUGGCGGUAACUUACCAGAAAGGGACGGCUAACUACGUGCCAGCAGCCGCGGUAAUACGUAGGUCCCGAGCGUUGUCCGGAUUUAUUGGGCGUAAAGCGAGCGCAGGCGGUUUAAUAAGUCUGAAGUUAAAGGCAGUGGCUUAACCAUUGUUCGCUUUGGAAACUGUUAAACUUGAGUGCAGAAGGGGAGAGUGGAAUUCCAUGUGUAGCGGUGAAAUGCGUAGAUAUAUGGAGGAACACCGGUGGCGAAAGCGGCUCUCUGGUCUGUAACUGACGCUGAGGCUCGAAAGCGUGGGGAGCAAACAGG
rnacentral:rRNA from 1 species